rnacentral:rRNA from 1 species
GGUUAAGGGGAAGUGUUAGAGCAAUCGAAGCACCGAACUUAAGCCCCAGUAAACGGCGGCCGUAACUAUAACGGUCCUAAGGUAGCGAAAUUCCUUGUCGGGUAAGUUCCGACCCGCACGAAAGGCGUAAUGAUCUGGACACUGUCUCAACAAUAGGCUCGGUGAAAUUGUAGUACCGGUAAAGAUGCCGGUUACCCGCAGCAGGACGGAAAGACCCCGUGGAGCUUCACUGUAGCUUGAUAUUGAGUUUCGGCGUUGCAUGUACAGGAUAGGUGGGAGACUAUGAGACGGGUACGCCAGUAUCCGUGGAGUCACCGUUGGGAUACCACCCUUGUAACGUUGGAAUUCUAACCGAGUAUCGUAAUCCGGUACCGGGACAGUGUCAGGUGGGCAGUUUGACUGGGGCGGUCGCCUCCUAAAGAGUAACGGAGGCGCCCAAAGGUUCCCUCAGCGCGGACGGAAAUCGCGCGAAGAGUGCAAAGGCAAAAGGGAGCUUGACUGCGAGACAUACAGGUCGAGCAGGGACGAAAGUCGGGCUUAGUGAUCCGGUGGUACCGCGUGGAAGGGCCAUCGCUCAACGGAUAAAAGCUACCCCGGGGAUAACAGGCUUAUACCCCCCAAGAGUUCACAUCGACGGGGGUGUUUGGCACCUCGAUGUCGGCUCGUCUCAUCCUGGGGCUGAAGUAGGUCCCAAGGGUUGGGCUGUUCGCCCAUUAAAGAGGUACGCGAGCUGGGUUCAGAACGUCGUGAGACAGUUCGGUCCCUAUCCGCUGUGGGCGUUGGAAAUUUGAGAGGAGCUAUCCUUAGUACGAGAGGACCGGGAUGGACAUACCUCUGGUGCACCGGUUGUUCUGCCAAGGGCAUAGCCGGGUAGCUAAGUAUGGACGGGAUAAGCGCUGAAAGCAUCUAAGUGCGAAGCCCCCCUCAAGAUAAGAUUCCCCCAGA